GAAAUGCGAUAAGUAGUGUGAAUUGCAGAAUUCAGUGAAUCAUCGAAUCUUUGAACGCACAUUGCGCCCCUUGGUAUUCCAUGGGGCAUGCCUGUUCGAGCGUCAUUUGUACCCUCAAGCUCUGCUUGGUGUUGGGUGUUUGUCCCGUCUCCGCGCGUGCACUCGCCCCAAAGUGAUUGGCAGCCGGCGUACUGGUCCCGGAGCGCAGCACAUGUCGCGCAAACGAGUGCCUUGGUACGGCGGCGUCCAUAAGCCCCUCUCUCACGCUCUUGACCUCGGAUCAGGUAGGGAUACCCGCUGAACUUAAGC
rnacentral:misc_RNA from 1 species